CAGUAGCGCGGUAAUACGUAGGGUGCGAGCGUUAAUCGGAAUUACUGGGCGUAAAGCGUGCGCAGGCGGUUGUGUAAGACAGGUGUGAAAUCCCCGGGCUUAACCUGGGAACUGCGCUUGUGACUGCACAGCUAGAGUAUGGCAGAGGGGGGUGGAAUUCCACGUGUAGCAGUGAAAUGCGUAGAGAUGUGGAGGAACACCGAUGGCGAAGGCAGCCCCCUGGGCCAAUACUGACGCUCAUGCACGAAAGCGUGGGGAGCAAACAGGAUUAGAUACCCGCGUAGUCCCUGUCUCUUAUACA
rnacentral:rRNA from 1 species